rnacentral:rRNA from 1 species
GUGCCAGCAGCCGCGGUAAGACAGAGGGUGCAAACGUUGUUCGGAAUUACUGGGCGUAAAGCGCGUGUAGGCGGCUUGGCAAGUCGGGUGUGAAAGCCCUGGGCUCAACCUAGGAAGUGCACUCGAAACUGCUUCGCUUGAGUGCCGGAGAGGAAAGCGGAAUUCUCGGUGUAGAGGUGAAAUUCGUAGAUAUCGAGAGGAACAUCGGUGGCGAAGGCGGCUUUCUGGACGGUAACUGACGCUGAGACGCGAAAGCGUGGGGAGCAAACAGGAUUAGAAACCCCCGUAGUCC